rnacentral:pre_miRNA from 1 species
AAAAGGACAAAAUCUGAGUUUCCGUAUCCAAUAUUUGACCGUUCGUCUUAUUUAAAAAAAUUAUGAAAAAAAUUAAAAAGAUAAGUCACGCAUAAAAUAUUAAUCAUGUUUUAUCAUCUAACAACAAUGAAAAUACUAAUUAUAAAAAAAUUUCAUAUAAGACGAACAGUCAACGUUGGACACGGAAACCCAGGAUUUAUCUUUUU